rnacentral:rRNA from 1 species
GACGAACGCUGGCGGCGUGCUUAACACAUGCAAGUCGAACGGAAAGGCCCUGCUUUUGUUGUGUGCUCGAGUGGCGAAAGGGUGAGUAACACGUGUGUAACCUGCCCUUUACUUUGGGAUAACUUCAGGAAACUGGGGCUAUUACCGGGUAGGACCUCCUGUUGCAUGGUGGGUGUUGUAAAGUUUCGGCGGUUGUGGACGGACUCGCGGCUUAUCAGCUUGUUGGUGGGUAGGUGGCUUACCAAGGCUUUGACGGGACGCCGGCCUGGGAGGGUGACCGGCCACAUUGGGACUGGGAUACGGCCCAGACUGCUACGGGAGGCAGCAGUGGGGAAUAUUGCACAAUGGGCGGAAGCCUGAUGCAGCAACGCCGCGUGCGGGAGGACGGCCGUCGGGUUGUAAACCGCUUUCGCCUGUGACGAAGCGUGAGUGACGGUAAUGGGUAAAGAAGCACCGGCUAACUACGUG